rnacentral:rRNA from 1 species
GAUGAACGCUAGCUACAGGCUUAACACAUGCAAGUCGAGGGGUAACGAGAGGAAAGCUUGCUUUCCUUGUCGACGACCGGCGCACGGGUGAGUAACGCGUAUCCAACCUGCCCCCAACUAGGGAAUAACCUUGCGAAAGUAAGACUAAUACCCUAUAAUUUCCUCAGAUGCCAUCUGACGAGGACUAAAGAUUUAUCGGUUGUGGAUGGGGAUGCGUCUGAUUAGCUUGUUGGCGGGGUAACGGCCCACCAAGGCAACGAUCAGUAGGGGUUCUGAGAGGAAGGUCCCCCACAUUGGAACUGAGACACGGUCCAAACUCCUACGGGAGGCCGCAGUGAGGAAUAUUGGUCAAUGGGCGGAAGCCUGAACCAGCCAAGUAGCGUGCAGGAUGACGGCCCUAUGGGUUGUAAACUGCUUUUAUACAGGAAUAAAGUUAGCCACGUGUGGUUAUUUGUAGGUACUGUAUGAAUAAGGACCGGCUAAUUCCGUGCCAGCAGCCGCGGUAA